UGCAGCCUACGGGACGCAGCAGUGAGGAAUAUUGGUCAAUGGGCGCGAGCCUGAACCAGCCAAGUCGCGUGAGGGAAGACGGUCCUAUGGAUUGUAAACCUCUUUUGUCGGGGAGCAAAAGACGCCACGUGUGGCGUUCCGAGAGUACCCGAAGAAAAAGCAUCGGCUAACUCCGUGCCAGCAGCCGCGGUAAUACGGAGGAUGCGAGCGUUAUCCGGAUUUAUUGGGUUUAAAGGGUGCGCAGGCGGAAGAUCAAGUCA
rnacentral:rRNA from 1 species